rnacentral:rRNA from 1 species
AGCGUACACGGUGGAUGCCCUGGCAGUCAGAGGCGAUGAAGGGCGUGCUAAUCUGCGAUAAGCGCCGGUAAGGUGAUAUGAACCGUUAUAACCGGCGAUACCCGAAUGGGGAAACCCAGUGUGACUCGUCACACUAUCAUUAACUGAAUCCAUAGGUUAAUGAGGCGAACCGGGGGAACUGAAACAUCUAAGUACCCCGAGGAAAAGAAAUCAACCGAGAUUCCCCCAGUAGCGGCGAGCGAACGGGGAGGAGCCCAGAGCCUGAAUCAGCAUGUGUGUUAGUGGAAGCGUCUGGAAAGGCGCGCGAUACAGGGUGACAGCCCCGUACACAAAAGCGCAUGUGCUGUGAGCUCGAUGAGUAGGGCGGGACACGUGGUAUCCUGUCUGAAUAUGGGGGGACCAUCCUCCAAGGCUAAAUACUCCUGACUGACCGAUAGUGAACCAGUACCGUGAGGGAAAGGCGAAAAGAACCCCGGCGAGGGGAGUGAAAAAGAACCUGAAACCGUGUACGUACAAGCAGUGGGAGCNNGUGACUGCGUACCUUUUGUAUAAUGGGUCAGCGACUUAUAUUCUGUAGCAAGGUUAACCGAAUAGGGGAGCCGGAGGGAAACCGAGUCUUAAUUGGGCGUUAAGUUGCAGGGUAUAGACCCGAAACCCGGUGAUCUAGCCAUGGGCAGGUUGAAGGUUGGGUAACACUAACUGGAGGACCGAACCGACUAAUGUUGAAAAAUUAGCGGAUGACCUGUGGCUGGGGGUGAAAGGCCAAUCAAACCGGGAGAUAGCUGGUUCUCCCCGAAAGCUAUUUAGGUAGCGCCUCGUGAAUUCAUCUCCGGGGGUAGAGCACUGUUUCGGCUAGGGGGCCAUCCCGGCUUACCAACCCGAUGCAAACUGCGAAUACCGGAGAAUGUUAUCACGGGAGACACACGGCGGGUGCUAACGUCCGUCGUGAAGAGGGAAACAACCCAGACCGCCAGCUAAGGUCCCAAAGUCAUGGUUAAGUGGGAAACGAUGUGGGAAGGCCCAGACAGCCAGGAUGUUGGCUUAGAAGCAGCCAUCAUUUAAAGAAAGCGUAAUAGCUCACUGGUCGAGUCGGCCUGCGCGGAAGAUGUAACGGGGCUAAACCAUGCACCGAAGCUGCGGCAGCGANNGUUGGGUAGGGGAGCGUUCUGUAAGCCUGCGAAGGUGGCCUGUGAGGGUUGCUGGAGGUAUCAGAAGUGCGAAUGCUGACAUAAGUAACGAUAAAGCGGGUGAAAAGCCCGCUCGCCGGAAGACCAAGGGUUCCUGUCCAACGUUAAUCGGGGCAGGGUGAGUCGACCCCUAAGGCGAGGCCGAAAGGCGUAGUCGAUGGGAAACGGGUUAAUAUUCCCGUACUUGGUGUUACUGCGAAGGGGGGACGGAGAAGGCUAUGUUGGCCGGGCGACGGUUGUCCCGGUUUAAGCGUGUAGGUGUGUGUUCCAGGUAAAUCCGGUUCACUUUAACACUGAGGCGUGAUGACGAGGCACUACGGUGCUGAAGCAACAAAUGCCCUGCUUCCAGGAAAAGCCUCUAAGCAUCAGGUAACAUCAAAUCGUACCCCAAACCGACACAGGUGGUCAGGUAGAGAAUACCAAGGCGCUUGAGAGAACUCGGGUGAAGGAACUAGGCAAAAUGGUGCCGUAACUUCGGGAGAAGGCACGCUGACACGUAGGUGAAGUGAUUUACUCAUGGAGCUGAAGUCAGUCGAAGAUACCAGCUGGCUGCAACUGUUUAUUAAAAACACAGCACUGUGCAAACACGAAAGUGGACGUAUACGGUGUGACGCCUGCCCGGUGCCGGAAGGUUAAUUGAUGGGGUCAGCGCAAGCGAAGCUCCUGAUCGAAGCCCCGGUAAACGGCGGCCGUAACUAUAACGGUCCUAAGGUAGCGAAAUUCCUUGUCGGGUAAGUUCCGACCUGCACGAAUGGCGUAAUGAUGGCCAGGCUGUCUCCACCCGAGACUCAGUGAAAUUGAACUCGCUGUGAAGAUGCAGUGUACCCGCGGCAAGACGGAAAGACCCCGUGAACCUUUACUAUAGCUUGACACUGAACAUUGAGCCUUGAUGUGUAGGAUAGGUGGGAGGCUUUGAAGCGUGGACGCCAGUCUGCGUGGAGCCGACCUUGAAAUACCACCCUUUAAUGUUUGAUGUUCUAACGUGGACCCGUAAUCCGGGUUGCGGACAGUGUCUGGUGGGUAGUUUGACUGGGGCGGUCUCCUCCUAAAGAGUAACGGAGGAGCACGAAGGUUGGCUAAUCCUGGUCGGACAUCAGGAGGUUAGUGCAAUGGCAUAAGCCAGCUUGACUGCGAGCGUGACGGCGCGAGCAGGUGCGAAAGCAGGUCAUAGUGAUCCGGUGGUUCUGAAUGGAAGGGCCAUCGCUCAACGGAUAAAAGGUACUCCGGGGAUAACAGGCUGAUACCGCCCAAGAGUUCAUAUCGACGGCGGUGUUUGGCACCUCGAUGUCGGCUCAUCACAUCCUGGGGCUGAAGUAGGUCCCAAGGGUAUGGCUGUUCGCCAUUUAAAGUGGUACGCGAGCUGGGUUUAGAACGUCGUGAGACAGUUCGGUCCCUAUCUGCCGUGGGCGCUGGAGAACUGAGGGGGGCUGCUCCUAGUACGAGAGGACCGGAGUGGACGCAUCACUGGUGUUCGGGUUGUCAUGCCAAUGGCACUGCCCGGUAGCUAAAUGCGGAAGAGAUAAGUGCUGAAAGCAUCUAAGCACGAAACUUGCCCCGAGAUGAGUUCU